AAUGAAGCUACAUAUGUUUAUGUAGAUGUUCUUGAAAACAUGAAAGAUGGUACUAAAAUGUUGCAAGUUGAUGAUAGUGGUGGUAGAAUGACUCCUGAUAAGAUGCAGCAGUGCAUGUCCCUUGGCUAUUCUGUAAAAAGCAACAUGGCGAACACCAUUGGUCAAUGUGAGCUCCUAAAUUACUUAAUGGGUAAAUAAUUGGAUGUGCAGAAGACUUGACAUGCAUUAAUCUUUUUCUUCUUGUUUUUUCCCCCCAAUUUUCUCCCAUAUGGAAAUGAGUUCAAGACAAGUACAAUGAGGCUAGGAGCAAAUGUUCUUGUGUUUUCACGUUGCCAAGGGAAUGAUGGACAAAGGUUCACACAAAGCAUCAGAAUGAUAUCCUAAACAUUUCUAAGGGGUAUUGGAAAGGAAGAUGUUGUGGUUUCCAUGAUUGACUUUGAAAAAAGAGGACAAGAGUGGAAGAAGAUGACACGAUCUUCUCUGCAUGACUGGGAUAGAAAUUUAGCAACCAUAUUGCAGUGGUCACCUUAUGCAAAUGAAGAAGAUCUUCUU